AGUCACUGACAUUAGAUACCCCGGUAGUCCAGGGUGUAAACGCUGCCGACUUGGUGUUGGAGGCCCUUCGGGGGCAUUCAGUGCCGGAGAGAAGUUGUUAAGUCUGCUACUUGGGGAGUACGUCCGCAAGGGUGAAACUUAAAGGAAUUGGCGGGGGAGCACCGCAACGGGAGGAGCGUGCGGUUUAAUUGGAUUCAACACCGUAAAACUCACCAGGGAAGACUGUUACAUGAAGGCCGAGAUGAAGACUCUGCUAGAUUUUCAG
rnacentral:rRNA from 1 species